rnacentral:siRNA from 1 species
UUCGAGAUUUCUCAAUUCUGU